ensembl:lncRNA
UACCUGCUGAGUAGUAAAGCAAAUGGGCAGAAAUUCCUCCUCUGAAGGAGUCCACAUUCUAGUGAGGGGAGAAAUGCAUUAGACAAAAUAAACAUAGAAAGACAUUGGUGCCAAGCGCCACCAAGAAAAAUGACAGAAUCGGGGGUGGGGGUUGGAAUGAGCAGGAAUACCGCUUUCUAUGGCGUGGGCAGAAAAAUCCGUCUGGACAUGUGUGACCAGAGAUGGAAGUGAAGAGGGGGUGGGAGCCUUGGGGGCGUCUACGGGAAACUGCCUUCCGCUCAGCAGUGGUGCAAAGGCCUGGCCAGGAUGGUCCCAGACUAACAGGCAGAUCAGUGCUGGAGUGGAAGGGGGCAGUGAGCGAGAGGGAGGUGGGCGCUGGGAGGGAAGUGGUGUCUAACCCCACGGGCUUUCUGGGCCAUGGAAGGGACUUUGGCUCCCACUCUGAGUGGAAGAGGAAUCUAUAGAGGGUUGGAGCAGGAAGGUGUGACCUGACUGCGGUUAUAACAGGGGAACAGACAGCAGGGGCAAAGGGCAGGUGCCAGGGACACUGUGAGAAAGCCAUUGUCAUCUCCAAGCAAAAGAUGACAGUGGCCGGAUUGUGGAUAUAUUUAGAUGGCAGAGCUGAUGAGACUUGCUGACAGAUUGGAUUCGGGAUGUAUUCCGGUUACCUAUCGCUAUACAACAGACCACCCCCGGUCCUUGGUGGCUUAAAACGACCACAGACAUUUAUUUUGCUCAUGAAUCUGCAACAUUCGGACAGGGCUCAGCGGGGAAGGCUCCUUUCUGCCCAACAUGAUGUCACAGGGGUGGCCUGGGAAGCCACUUGCAGGGUGGGUCCCGUGCAGCUGGUAGGCGCGAGCUGAUGGCUGCACCUCGGCUGGGCCUGGCCCAUCCACCCGAGGCCUCAGCCCUUCCUCAUGUGGGUCUCUCCUGGGCUCCUGGGCUCCAAGAGCAAGCAUCUCAGGAAGCCAAAGCAGAGGCUCCAGGCCUUCUUACCAUCUAGCCUCGGAAAUCCCAGAACGUCACUUCCGCUGCCUUCUAUUGGUCAAGUGAUGCUGACGCAGCUGGGCCACAGGGCAAGGGGCUGGUCUGGCCAGACCUGCUGCUGCCCAGGGGACACACCAGGGGACCACAACACACACAGCUUGGCUAGAGGGACCACCGUCCAGCCCCUCAUCUCACAGAGCAGACGGACAGCAGCUGUGGCACGCCAAGCCCCUACAAUGCCACCGGCACCAGCUGGUCUCUGGAGCUAGAACGCCCAGGGGCUUCCUGGGACCAGAGUUGACCUUGGGCUUGCGGAAUGACAGUUUCAGGCCCUCCUUGAAGAAGAGCGAAAUGGAUAUCCAUGCCUUCCUGUAGUCUACCCCCCCAAUGAAAACAUUCUCUCUUGAUUUUUGUCUGAAACAGUUCUUUGUUGUCUAAGACUAGGAGGGGACAGAGGUGAGAGGGCGGUGGCAGUGGGAGGGGCCAGGGCCCUUGCAGGGAACAGAGGAAUGAAACAUGCUGCCAAGGGUAGAGACUGUCAUCACCGGCCUUUACAAGGCGCACGGAAGUGCGGUGCAGGGUUACACAGGGUGCUGUUCAUAAGGGCCCAACCCCGGCAGUGCCUCCUGAACUCAGCCCAGGGGCUGGGGUCGCCCAUGCCCUCCUCCAAGGGGGAGCAGCUGCUGCCACCCUUGGCGCACGUUGUCCCAUGACCUGGAGUGGCCUCCCAUCCCGUGCAGUGGUGACCACUCGUCCCUCAAGGCCCAGCCCAGAUGCCACCUCCUCUCGGAAGCCUGCUCUGAGCCUUCCAGCCCAGGUCUCCUGCCUUUCCUGCACCGCCCAAAGCCUGCUCGGAAACGACCUCCUGUGGUGGAAGAAACCCUCCACGCCUUCUGACUCUGGCUUCCUUCUCCAAA